UGGGGAAUAUUGCACAAUGGAGGGAACUCUGAUGCUGCGACGCCGCGUGAACGAAGAAGGCUUUCGAGUCGUAAAGUUCUUUUAUAUGGGAAGAUAAUGACGGUACCAUAAGAAGAAGCCCCGGCUAACUACGUGCCAGCAGCCGCGGUAAUACGUAGGGGGCUAGCGUUGUCCGGAAUCACUGGGCGUAAAGGGUUCGCAGGCGGAAAUGCAAGUCAGGUGUAAAAGGCAGUAGCUUAACUACUGUAAGCAUUUGAAACUGCAUAUCUUGAGAAGAGUAGAGGUAAGUGGAAUUUUUAGUGUAGCGGUGAAAUGCGUAGAUAUUAAAAAGAAUACCGGUGGCGAAGGCGACUUACUGGGCUCAUUCUGACGCUGAGGAACGAAAGCGUGGGUAGCAAACAGG
rnacentral:rRNA from 1 species